UCCGGGUCUGUGGUUGAAAGUCGAUGCCAGUUGCAGGCGAAACGAUCCACGUAAGCAGUAAAAUUACUGUGAGCACGGUGCAGCUUAGAAGUAAGUCCUGCCGUUAAUAACGAGAGGAGCAGUAGUGGGGAGCAGUUGCUUAGGAGCGAACCUUCCAGCAGGCGGGUGUGGGGGCGAAAACCAGGUCAGCCGGGG
rnacentral:ncRNA from 1 species